GAUGAACGCUGGCAGCGUGCCUAAUACAUGCAAGUCGAGCGAAUGGAUUAAGAGCUUGCUCUUAUGAAGUUAGCGGCGGAUGGGUGAGUAACACGUGGGUAACCUGCCCAUAAGACUGGGAUAACUCCGGGAAACCGGGGCUAAUACCGGAUAAUAUUUUGAACUGCAUGGUUCAAAAUUGAAAGGCGGCUUCGGCUGUCACUUAUGGAUGGACCCGCGUCGCAGUAGCUAGUUGGUGAGGUAACGGCUCACCAAGGCAACGAUGCGUAGCCGACCUGAGAGGGUGAUCGGCCACACUGGGACUGAGACACGGCCCAGACUCCUACGGGAGGCAGCAGUAGGGAAUCUUCCGCAAUGGACGAAAGUCUGACGGAGCAACGCCGCGUGAGUGAUGAAGGCUUCCGGGUCGUAAAACUCUGUUGUUAGGGAAGAACAAGUGCUAGUUGAAUAAGCUGGCACCUUGACGGUACCUAACCAGAAAGCCACGGCUAACUACGUGCCAGCCGCCGCAGUAA
rnacentral:rRNA from 1 species